rnacentral:tRNA from 1 species
GUCGCCGAAGCUGUACGGCUUCACGGUGAGCGGUUCGUACUCGUUCGCAGGCGUGCCUGACAGCGUCUAUCAGGGUUCGACCUGGUCGGCCGCG